GCAGUGCCAUGUCGGCACCGGGGAUCUGAACUGGCGAACCCCGGGCAGCUGAAGCGGAACGUGCGAACUUAACUGCUGCACCACCAGGCUGGCCCCUCAUGUUCUGAUCUUUCAAGGCCUGAAGCAAAAGCUGAAGUUGAUGAUUAACCCCUCACUGCCUGUGUAUCGGUGGGAACAACCGUUCACGUGGUCUUAUCUCAGAGUUUUGCUUCUGGUCCAGAGACGAUGCCUGGGAGUGGAGUAGGAGCCACCCAAUUGUGACAGUGGGUAAUAGGGUGCAGUUUGGUCGGUCCCCCAGCAGUGAUACCCUCUGGCAAUGAGCUCCCCAGGAAUUGUGGAGAAGAAUUUUCCUUCAAGGCUGGGGGAAUGCAGGUCAAGGCUGAAAUCAGCUACUUAGGGGAUUACACUAUAUGAGAGAUCACCGGGAGAAUCAGACUUCUCAGAAUUGCCCCCAAACACUGAGAAAAGGUCCAACCAGGGUCUGGAAUCCUCUCCCUGCCUCUGAACUCCCAGCUGUCAUUGUCUUGAACACUCACUUGACAUUAAACAUACAUUUUCCUCUGA